CGCAGCUUACCAUGCAAGUCGAGCGGUAACAGGGGGUGCUUGCACCCCGCUGACGAGCGGCGGACGGGUGAGUAAUGCAUAGGAAUCUGCCCAGUAGUGGGGGAUAGCCCGGGGAAACCCGGAUUAAUACCGCAUACGCCCUUUGGGGGAAAGCAGGGGAUCUUCGGACCUUGCGCUAUUGGAUGAGCCUAUGUCGGAUUAGCUAGUUGGUGGGGUAAAGGCCUACCAAGGCGACGAUCCGUAGCUGGUCUGAGAGGAUGAUCAGCCACAUCGGGACUGAGACACGGCCCGAACUCCUACGGGAGGCAGCAGUGGGGAAUAUUGGACAAUGGGGGCAACCCUGAUCCAGCCAUGCCGCGUGUGUGAAGAAGGCUUUCGGGUUGUAAAGCACUUUCAGUGAGGAGGAAAACCUUCUGGUUAAUACCCAUGAGGCUUGACGUUACUCACAGAAGAAGCACCGGCUAACUCCGUGCCAGCAGCCGCGGUAAUACGGAGGGUGCAAGCGUUAAUCGGAAUUACUGGGCGUAAAGCGCGCGUAGGUGGUUUGAUAAGCGAGAUGUGAAAGCCCCGGGCUUAACCUGGGAACGGCAUUUCGAACUGUCAG
rnacentral:rRNA from 1 species